UGCUGGUGGUGGGCACCUCUGCUUUCACCGCUGCUGCUGGUGGGCAACGCCGACGCCCUCCGAUCCCCGUCACCAACCCCCCGAGGCAUCCGCCUCUGCCUGUAGAAGAAGGAUUUGAAUGCACUCUUGCAACAUCCCUUGCAUCCUAAGACAUUCUCACGCCGCUAUUUGGCUGGGGCGGGUAUAUCACCAUUGCUUCAAAAGCAACUAGAAGAGUUGUCCAAGAGGAAUGUAAACAGUAAUAGCAGUAAUGACGAUAAUAAAGGGUCACGAUUUGUUAUUAUUGGCCAGGAUCGUGUGGAACCGUUGCAAGCUCUUCAAGAUUCUGGACAAGAGAUUUGUGUGAACAUGGACAAGCAAAGGGUGAAGAGAAGACUUGCUGAGAAUUGGAGGCGAAAGAAACACGAAGAGAAGAAAAGCACACAGGAACAAAAGAGAAAGGACAGGAGAAGUGCUAAAGAGAGGGACUGGAUAAUAAAUGAAAUACUGAAAGAGGAGGCAUGUAUUGUUUUGAGAUUAUUUGUCUCAGGCCACUUCAGUUCCAUCAUUCCUUCAUAGUCCGCAACUAAGAGAGUGAACAUAUUUUUCUUGCUGAACCAUGAAUCUUAUGGGAAGUAGCGAGCUUUAGAGACUAUGAUUUCGCUGCGGAGGUGUCACCUAAGAAUUCUACAUUCCAGGUUUGCAAGCUUCCACGAUUUCGGAAGCCAAACGGAGAUACUCCGGCUCCUAACUCUGCGGUGGAGCGGAGCGACAUGCAGUUCAUUUCUUUGGAGCGGGCAUUCUGUCGAUCCUUGUUUCCAGAGGAACGGAGUGACUGGAGUGGUACAUUGCCGAACAGGCACUUCAUUGCACAUGAUUUACUGAAUUGCAGAUAUCAAAAGGCGCAUGGAGAAGGAUGUUAACGAAGUGACAAAGGUUGCACGGCUCACAAAAUCAAAACUACAGCAAUUGAAUAAAGAGACGUCAGCAACACCAUCUCUGUGUAGCCAGACGGUUCUUCAUGUAACUCAUCUUUUCUAUUUUCAUAAAGAUCAGCCAAGGCCUUUUGAGUGGUCGCCUGUCACCCUCAUCCCCCUCCCUUAUCUCUUGUUCGAUGUGUUAGUUUGUGUCAACAUGUUCAAGAUUUUGCUAUCUUUUAGCUCAAGCAACUAAACUGUGCUCUGUUCUAAGCAUGCAAAA